ncrna:unclassified sequences SAM-I/IV variant riboswitch
AUUAAGCAUCAGGAGUGAAUAAGUAAUUAUUCUGCCAACCUGCUUAGAGGAAAGUAAGGUGGAGUAGGAUGUGGUCUUAAUGACAAUUAAGUUCCUCAUCA